rnacentral:siRNA from 1 species
UUGGGGUGGAACAACUAUAAC